rnacentral:tRNA from 1 species
UACAUUUUAGUAUAGGGUGUAUAUAAAUUUUUGAUAUUUAAGGAAAUAGUUUAAUUCUAUUAAAUGUAA